rnacentral:rRNA from 1 species
UACAGAGGGUGCGAGCGUUAGUCGGAAUUACUGGGCGUAAAGCGGGCGUAGACGGUUUCGUAAGUCGGGUGUGAAAGCCCCGGGCUCAACCUGGGAAUUGCAUUCGAGACUGCGAAGCUAGGGUGCGGAAGAGGGAAGCGGAAUUUCCGGUGUAGCGGUGAAAUGCGUAGAUAUCGGAAGGAACAUCAGUGGCGAAAGCGGCUUCCUGGUCCAGCACCGACGUUCAGGCACGAAAGCGUGGGGAGCAAACAGG